GAUUGGAUUGUGAUCACACAUGGAAAGUUUGAGGCAGAUUGGAGCAUGCAGACGAGAGUUAUACAGCAGUUGAUGUUUCAUGGCGAAGCAUCAAAACUCUGAUGGUCGCCAUGGCCACGCCAUUUGGCUUCUGGUUAAACUUUUGAUAACUUUUCAUCACCAAGUCCUGCUGUGUGGACUGACAAAAUUUCAGGUCUCCUGGAAUUAUCCCCUAGGAGGUAUUCACUCUCAAAAAUGAGAAAAAUCAUCAAAAAUCUCACAAUCAAUCCAAGAUGGCCAACUUCCUGUUGGAUUUAGGGCAUGGCUCCAAGAGGCUUUUUUGUGCGUCCUGAUGUGCUCUAUAAGCCUCCCAAAUUUCAUGGAUGUAGGUGAAACGUGCUGGGGGGGCUGUUUGUUAAAAAUACUGUAGGGGGCGCUAUAGCAUGUGCAGUGCCGAGAUGCAUACAGUGUUGUUCCUUGGUUCCAUGGUGAUGUGUGUGGUAAUUUUAGUGAGCAUUGGAGUAUUCCUAACCUGUCAGAAAGGGCUUUGUUUUUCAUGGCGAUAUUUGGUUGCUACGGCAACAGCGUUGCAUGAAAUGUCACACCCUUCACAGUGUGUGAUUGUCAAGAGGUGAAGACUCGACUGACCAAUUUCCAGCAUGAUAUCACCACGUUUGGGGCCAUUGUACCUGAAAAUAUAAGGCCUUAAACUUACUACUACCAACAGGUGGCGCUAUGACUUUUUUCAGAAUUUAUGAGUGUGGAUGUGUUCAGACUGGACCUGGUGUCCAUCAUGUGAAGUUUGGGGCAGAUAGGAUCUUGUUCAGCUGAGAU